UCGUGAGACAGGUUAGUUUUACCCUACUGAUGAAUGUUAUCGCAAUAGUAAUUGAACUUAGUACGAGAGGAACCGUUCAUUCGGAUAAUUGGUUUUUGCGGCUGUCUGAUCAGGCAUUGCCGCGAAGCUACCAUCCGCUGGAUUAUGGCUGAACGCCUCUAAGUCAGAAUCCAUGCUAGAAAGCGAUGAUUUCUUUCCCUCACACAUUCUAGAUGGAUAAGAAUAAGGCACUUUGUGUCGCUGAACCAUAGCAGGCUGGUACUGGUGCUCUUAGCGGAAAGGCUUUGGGUGCUUACCGGCGGAUAGCAAUGUUAUUAUGCGUGAGGAUAAAUCCUUUGUAUACGACUUAAAUGUACAACGGGGUAUUGUNAGCAG
rnacentral:rRNA from 1 species